UUUAGUUACACAAGUUCUUGUUGCAACCUCGAGGUUUUAAACCGCUUGCAAGUAGUGGUACCGAGAAUAUAGAUAAAGUGUGUCCCUUGAAAGUAAAGAAAGUGAUUGGAAAGAUUAAGGUUGAAGUGAGAAAAGUAAGAAUCAUCCCACAAAGAAAACUCAAGGACACAUACUCUCAGCUAAGUGCUAUAUAUGUGCAAGCAGGAGUCGAGUACAUCCGACACGUAUCUUCACUUGUAAAAAGCAAAAUUAACAAAUUAGGAAUCUCUUCAUUCUCGCUUUCGUGUGAAGAACCGGUGACAUGCUUAUUGCAACUUAAAAGCUCUGAAGAACAUAUAGAAACGGAAUCAACCUUGGCAUUUGUUUGAGGCCUGGAACCGGUGAUUCCCAUGACUUUUUCCCGGAGAAUCAAGCAGAUGCCCUUUUGCUAGAAGUGCAGGGUGAGAAGAGAAUUAUCCAGUGUCGUGCAGUUAUUCUUUCAUCCUUACAUGAU